rnacentral:rRNA from 1 species
UACGUAGGGUGCAAGCGUUGUCCGGAAUUAUUGGGCGUAAAGAGCUCGUAGGCGGUUUGUCGCGUCUGCUGUGAAAACUCGGGGCUUAACUCCGGGCCUGCAGUGGGUACGGGCAGACUAGAGUGCGGUAGGGGAGACUGGAAUUCCUGGUGUAGCGGUGAAAUGCGCAGAUAUCAGGAGGAACACCGGUGGCGAAGGCGGUGGUCUGGGCCGGCACUGACGCUGAGGAGCGAAAGCGUGGGUAGCAAACAGG